rnacentral:lncRNA from 1 species
GUCUUUGCUUCUUAUGGUGCAUUCGUUUCCUUGUUUCAGCCUCUGCUAUGGUUCGUGAGGCUCCGGGUCCUUCUUUGGUCAUGUUGUCGAUGGGCGAUCGUCUACGGAAGCUUCCUCAGUCUUUGUUGGGUCUACUUCUGAUGAGUAUUUUCUUCUCAAUUUGCUGUCUUUUUUUAUUGUAUAAUUUUGCUAUUUACGCUAUUUGUGUUCUUUUUCUUAGUUUUGGCCUCUAGCGAGGCCCGUCGGCGUGGUUGGAAAUUUAGCACACGCUAUUUGUGUUUUUGUGCUUAGUUUUGUCUUCUGGUGAGGCCCGACGAUGGUUGGAAAUUCGGCGUGAGAAUCAUCAUCUGGUGAGUGCUUGCUUUGUUGGUGUUGUUAUUAGCUUCAUGUCCUUUAGUUGAUUGGUUGGGGCAUGCUGCUAAGAGGAAUGUCCAGCCUACGUUUAGUGAAUUUAUUGACCCUUAUCUUGCUUCUGUUAAGGUCGUAUCUCCUAUGAAAGUGUUGUACCGUCCUUAUUUUACUACGUCUUAUGGUAAUUUUUCCCCAAGCAUAGUUAUUUUCCUCCUAUAUAUAUAUGAUUGCCUGGUUUACUAUUUUAUUUGUUUAUCUUUUAUAGUCCUACCUACACUUGUUGUUAGUCGUCUUGAUGCUGCUUUUGGGAUCGUCGGACUUUAUGACAGAAGAAUACUUCUGUUCGGAUGUACUUCUCAAUGGAUUUGUCCCAUUCUUCCUUAAGAGCGUCUCUAUGGAGCUAAGGAUAAACCAAAAAAUGCCUCCCCAUCACCUUAGAAUUGGAUUAGCCAUCUACAAAAAGUUACAAUGAUAUUCUGUACAUUCACCAUGCAUGUAAGUUCCUUGUGUUCCAUAGCAAUUUUAUUCGGUUUGCAGUUUUGGAUUGCAACCUACGACCUGCAGUCACCGGCCCUGGGGCUACGAAGCAAGCCGUGCAUGCCCUAAUCUUCAUAAGUAUGUUAUCUCCCGUAGAUGCAAGGUACUUAUCAACCUAUAUUCGCUAAAUUUGUUGGGGUAGCAGCUAAUUUAUCUAGAAUAGCGUAUUGGUGGCUGUUAUUUUUUUUUCCUGUGUCAUUCAGCAAUGAAAUAGCGGUCUUUGCUAUAUGAUUUAUUUCAGUUCAUCUGACGGAACAAGUUUGCAUCUCAUGUCAGAAUUACGGAAAGUUUCUAAAAGGAAAUAUAACCUAAUUUCGUUCCUUCACUCUUGAUUUGUCCCAUUUCAUGUCGUCUGCUCUCCUCUAGGUUCGUCCCCAAUCAUAAAAUUUGGAGUCUCGCACUGAAGAACCAAGGAGGUGGAAGUAUGAACAAUGCCCUCAUCAAAGCAACUCAGUUUGGAUUUGAAUCUAAGGAUGACUAUUGAGAAAAACGUACCCAACCUCCUUCAUAUGAGGCACUUGGCAGGGAGACGAUGGGCUAUACUUCCACAUAGCCUGUGACCAUGAUGAGUAUAUGGUAUUUUGGCUAGCUUUCUUUGUUGUGUUAAAAAUUGAGUCGGGUAGGAUGUGAAGUCUUCACAGAAAUGGAAACAUUUUUGUACGACCACGGACUCUUGAAAGGAACAAAAACAGGUGCCCGAAAUGAUACUCCCUCCGUUCCUAAAUAUAUCUCUUUUUAGAGAUUUCAAUGCGGACUACAUAAGGAGCAAAACAAGGAGUAGAUCGGGAGUAACAUGCAUGCUCCAAGUUGUGAGCAGUUUUGUAUUUCAGAGAGAUGUUUAUCCUAAAGUGAAAGUUUUUCUUAUGAAUAUUUCUUAUUGUGCGAGUCAUGUGGUGUUCGUUCCCUACAUACUUCAGAUUUAAAGGACAGGAUGGCCAACACUCUAUUAAUAUUAUGAACGAUCUGAAUUAACAAUGUUCUUUAAAUAAAAACAUUGUCAUCAAUUGAAGGGUUUUUGAAUUAAAAUAUCCUACAUGGUUAAUUUAAUUCUUUC